GUCAUGACGUCAUGACGUCACACGCCGGAAAUUUAACUGGUAAAGGUAGACGCCGCGGAGGAGCGGGUGGGCGCCUUUUCAAAGUGACCAGUGCGGCACUUACUUAGGCACCAGAUAAGAGCGGCUCAGGCUAACGGAGUGGAUGCCCUGCGGAGGAGUCACUCACUGCAGCUGGAGCAGCUUUUCAAGGGGUGCGUGCGGUGGCGGUGUUACGGGAGGAGGACCGUGAGGACAGGCCGCAGCACUCACACCGUGACCCACUGACCGGACUGCGCAGCUCUGCAGUGAUGUGGGAGCCUGUGAUUCUGUUUCACUUGUUACCAUGACAACCUCCCUGUCCCGCGGCGCACCGUGACAUCAUAGCCCGGCGAUGCAGAGGCGAGCAGCGUGUGCAGGUGGGCGGCAGCGCCGUGAGGAUAGGCUCUGCAGUGAUGUGGGAGCCUGUGAUUCUGUUUCACUUGUUACCAUGACAACCUCCCCCGUCCCGCGGCGCACCAUGACGUCAUAGCCCGGCGAAGCGGAAGCGAGCAGCGUGUGCAGGUGGGCGGCAGCGCCGUGAGGACAGGUUCAUUGUUUCUAGAGAACCGAUACAAUAUUUGUGGGAACUAGGCUUUUCGUGGAUUCGAAUAGCAACUUGCUUAAACAUCAGUGUUUCAACUUUGUACAGAAGACGACAAGAACUAAACUUGCCUACAUCUUCUGACAACAGAUUCAGUGAUAUAUGUGAUGAACUUGAUCAGCAUAUCUUGAGUUUUCUAAAUUCCACACCAAAUGCUGGAGAAAGUUAUAUUCAAGGUAGUCUCAGAAGCCGAGCACUGAGAGUACAGAGGUGGAAAAUUAGAAGGAGGCUGCAACUUCUGGAUCCUGUUGGCCGAGCUGUUCGUAAAAGACGGGCUAUUCGGCGUAGAGUUUAUAGUGUACCAGGUCCAAAUCAUUUGUGGCAUAUUGACAGUAACCACAAGCUAAUCUCUUGGAGAUUUGUGUUCCAUGGUUGCAUAGAUGGGUUCAGCAGAAAUAUAAUUUAUCUUAAAACUGCUACAAACAAUAAUGCAUCAACAACACUGCAAUUAUUUCAAAAAGGUGUAUCAAGGUUUGGAUUACCAUUACGAGUAAGAGGAGACAUGGGUGUUGAAAAUAUUAACAUAGCACGUUACAUGAUUAACUCAAGAGGACCUAAUAGGGGUAGCUUCAUAACUGGCCAGAGUGUUCACAAUCAACGGAUAGAACGCUUAUGGGCAGAAUUAAACAGAGUUGUCAUCUACUACUUUAAAGAUUUAUUUUUAUGGAUGGAGCAUAGAGGAAUACUAAAUACUAACAAUGAGUGCCAUCUCUUUGCUUUGCAUUAUGUAUAUCUGAGAAGAAUUAAUCAUGCAGUAACAUAAUUUGUUGAACAAUGGAAUAAUCACCUUAUGAGCACUGAAAGAUACCAUUCCCCAAUGCAGUUAUGGACAGCUGGAAUGCUUCAUAAUCCAAUGUUUGACACAGAAGUAAACAUCGAUGAGUAUGGCAUAGAUAACUAUGGCUCUACAGCCACAAUAGAAACAAAUAAUAAUGUUGUUGUACCAGACAAUACCAUUAUAUUGGAUGUAGAUGAGAUGACAAACCUUUGUCUACAAUUUGAUCCCACAACAAAUGAUUUUAACCACGGAGUUGAACAUUUUAAGAACACCUGUGAUUUUCUUGAACGUCUAAAUAUAAUUGUAUAAAGAUAAUGAUUUUUAAAAAAAAUUCAGAACUUUAUUUGUUAAACCUGAUACUGUUACAACAUUAAAAUAAAUUCAAUCUCUGGAA